GCAGAGUGCAGUCUGGGAGCAAACCCUGGUCCUCCCGAGCCUGUGGAGAUCUCAGCUGAGCUGUCUGGCACAGCAAGAUUUGCCUGUGAGGAAAAGCACUGUUCAGCAAGCAGCCUUGAGCACUACAUGCCACUCUUCAGUCCAGCAACUGAGAAAAUGCUGAGACUCUUUAGCAGAUCUGACAACGCUUCUGCCCUGAGUUGCCUCCAGGCAAAAUCCUGCAUCAUUUGUUCCCACCCUGCUGCUGAGAAGUGCCUGUACCUACCUCUGCUUCUCAUUUACAUUUGCUGUUAGAGUCACCUUAUAGAGCCCAGCUCAAUGUAUUUCUCACCAGAUGGAAGAAUGUUUUGUAUAAAAAGGUAACUUAAACCUUUCUCCUAAAAGAGUUAUUCCCUGGACACCCAGAUCUCCCACAUGACCCAGGCAGCACUCCUGUGCCCUGAAGUCUGCUGCUUAGGGGUCCAGCUUCACACCAUGAGCCCAGAGGCACAAGUCAGCCAGCUCCUGA